GAUGAACGCUGGCGGCGUGCCUAAUACAUGCAAGUCGAGCGAACAGAUGAGGCUCUUGCUCCUCUGACGUUAGCGGCGGACGGGUGAGUAACAUGUGUAUAACCUACCUAUAAGACUGGGAUAACUUCGGGAAACCGGAGCUAAUACCGGAGGAUAUCUUGAACCGCAUGGGUCAAUGGUGAAAGACGGUUUUGCUGUCACUUAUAGAUGGAUCCGCGCCGCAUUAGCUAGUUGGUAAGGUAACGGCUUACCAAGGCAACGAUGCGUAGCCGAGAGGUUAGGGUGAUCGCCCACCUUGGAACGGAGACACCGUCCAUACUCCUACGGGAGGGCGCAGUAGGCAACCUUCGGCAACGGGGGAAAGCAUUGCGGAGCAACGCCGCGUCAGUGAUAGAGGUCUUCGGUUCGUAAAGCUCUGUUACGAGGUAAGAACCAAUGUCGCCGUAAACAUGCCCGUCUUGACGGUACCGAAUAAGAAAGCAACGGCUAACUACGUG
rnacentral:rRNA from 1 species